GACGAACGCUGGCGGCGUGCCUAAUACAUGCAAGUUGAGCGCUGAAGGUUGGUACUUGUACCAACUGGAUGAGCAGCGCACGGGUGUGUAACGCGUGGGGAAUCUGCCUUUGAGCGGGGGACAACCUUUGAAAACGAAUGCUAAUACCGCAUAAAAACUUUAAACACAAGUUGUAAGUUUGAAAGAUGCAAUUGCAUCACUCAAAGACGAUCCCGCGUUGUAUUAGCUAGUUGGUGGGGUAAAGGCUCACCAAGGCGAUGAGUCAUAGCCGACCUGAGAGGGGGAUCGGCCGCAUUGGGACUUAAACACGGCCCUAACGCCUGCGGGAGGCAGCAGUAGGGAAUCGGCGGCAAUGGACGAAAGUCUUACCGAGCAACGCCGCGUGAGUGAAGGAGGUGUUCGGAUCGUAAAACCCUGUUGGUAGAGAAGAACGUUGUUGAGAGGGGAAAGCUCAUCAAGUGACGGGAACUACCCAGAAAGGGACGGCGAACUACGU
rnacentral:rRNA from 1 species